AUUGACACUUCAGCCAAAUAUAUAGUAAAAUUGGAAUGAUACAAAAAAGAUUCCCCUGGCUCCUGCAUAAGGAUAUUUGUGAAGCAUUCCAGAUAUUA
rnacentral:snRNA from 1 species